UGGGGAAUUUUGGACAAUGGGCGAAAGCCUGAUCCAGCAAUGCCGCGUGUGUGAAGAAGGCCUUCGGGUUGUAAAGCACUUUUGUCCGGAAGGAAAUCCUUGGCUCUAAUACAGUCGGGGGAUGACGGUACCGGAAGAAUAAGCACCGGCUAACUACGUGCCAGCAGCCGCGGUAAUACGUAGGGUGCAAGCGUUAAUCGGAAUUACUGGGCGUAAAGCGUGCGCAGGCGGUUUGCUAAGACCGAUGUGAAAUCCCCGGGCUCAACCUGGGAACUGCAUUGGUGACUGGCAGGCUAGAGUAUGGCAGAGGGGGGUAGAAUUCCACGUGUAGCAGUGAAAUGCGUAGAGAUGUGGAGGAAUACCGAUGGCGAAGGCAGCCCCCUGGGCCAAUACUGACGCUCAUGCACGAAAGCGUGGGGAGCAAACAGGAUUAGAUACCCUGGUAGUCCACGCCCUAAACGAUGUCAACUAGUUGUUGGGGGAUUCAUUUCCUUAGUAACGUAGCUAACGCGUGAAGUUGACCGCCUGGGGAGUACGGUCGCAAGAUUAAAACUCAAAUGAAUUGACGGGGUCAUAGCUGUUU
rnacentral:rRNA from 1 species